AUAUUUCUCUCUCUCUCUCUCUCUCUAUAUAUAUAUAUAUAUAUAUAUAGACAAACAUAUUUCUCUCUCUCUCUCUCUCUAUAUAUAUAUAUAUAUAUAUAUAUAGAGAGAGAGAGAGAGAGAGAGAAACAU
rnacentral:miRNA from 1 species